UACGGAGGGUGCGAGCGUUGUCCGGAAUCACUGGGCGUAAAGGGCGCGUAGGCGGCAGGCCAAGCGUGUGGUGAAAGCCCGGGGCUCAACCCCGGGAGGCGGGUGGAUACUGUCUAGCUCGAGUCCGGAAGAGGAGUGUGGAAUUCCUGGUGUAGCGGUGAAAUGCGCAGAUAUCAGGAAGAACACCCGUGGCGAAGGCGGCUCUCUGGUACGUGACUGACGCUGAGACGCGAAAGCGUGGGGAGCGAACAGG
rnacentral:rRNA from 1 species